rnacentral:lncRNA from 1 species
CCCUCUUCGGCUCUCAGCCAGCUUGCCUUCAAGAUCCUCAUCUAGACAAGGCUUAAAUUUGGCUUAACUGUUGGCUCCAGCAUUACCGUUUCACAAGGACGGAGGUGCAGCCUGUGUGGUGAUCCUUGCCAGGCGAAGGCACCAGGAAGAAUCCUUAUCCAAUGACGGGGACCCUAAAACUUGCCCGCACUCUUUUGUGAGUUGGGUUGGGUGGGGUGACUGCUGUCCUGCUGCAGAAGGUGUGGCUGUCUACUGUCUACCUUUUCUACCUCUGAAAUUUCACUUUGAUGGAGUUGCAGCGGCAGGUAUAACUGGCGGCUGUUCCCAUGGGACAUUUCUGUAGCCAUAUUUGGAUCAUAGUUCUCCCUCGGUGCCUCUCAGACCCUUGCUUCAUUUCAAUUGACUAAUUAAGCAUUUGGAGAUAUUGUCUAGGUAGCCCAAGCUAGACUUCAACUCACUUAAGUAGCCCAGGCUAGCCUUGACCUGGCUGCAUGUUUUUCUCGGACUCAGUUUCCAAGUGCCGGAACUAUAGGCAUGUACCACCAUGCCUGGUCCAAAUACUCAUUUAAAAUAAAUGCUUGUUGAUCUUUCUGGCCCCAUGCAGGAAGACUGGAGAUGUGGUGUGGGCCUGUGCAUACUUGUGUCAGUUACUGAAAUCUUUGGCCUCAGCCUUAAAAAGUACAACCCCAUGUUGUGGAGUGGGGAAAGAAUUUUUUUUAAUCUCUCUGAUUUUGCAGGCUAAUUUUUGCUGAGCAACCUAUAUUCUUCAGCUCAAAAGCUGCUCAGUUUCCUGAGGGGCAGGGAAAUAGGAGCAUUUUAUUUUUUCCCCCCAGCCAUACCUCCGGGACCCUGUAGCCACCUCAGAAUUCAUGUUUCCCAUGGGAGGCACCUUAUUGAUUCUCAUUCCUAAAGCUACAGUUCCAUAGUAAUGUUACUUUAGACGGAGGGCGGAGUGAUGGGAUUCUCUCGGUAGUUAUCCAUGUGUGGACUUGAAAGAGUAGUAAACUCAGUGCUCCAAGGUAUGCUAAUCAUAAAACAGAUAGCGACAUUCCUCCACCCACCCGCUUCCUGUGUUCAAGGAGUAUUCAUUCAAAGAAAGUCACCCUGACCCACCCUGACCAUUGCUGGAACCCACUAUGCAAAGGUGCUAUUGCAAGGGGCUCUUAGAUUGUUAGGGGCUCUUAGAAACUGUCUUGAGAGAUAACCUGACACUUGUGACUUUGUACUUCCUUGUGACUCUUAACUGGUAUUUUUGGUAUUUUCCAACAACGCCCUUCCCACCUCCUUGAGUUGUGGUUCCUUCCUUUAAAUACCCCCUUAUCCAGCUACUGGGGGCGCCACGGUCCUCUACCCCUGCGUGGUGUAUGACCAUGGGCCCGAGAGCGCUCUUGAAUAAAAAUCCUCUUGCAAUUUGCAGCAA